UAGGGAAUUUUCCGCAAUGGACGAAAGGCUGACGGAGCAACGCCGCGUGAGUGAAGAAGGAUUUCGGUUCGUAAAACUCUGUUGUUAGGGAAGAAAAAAUGUAUAGUAACUAUAGACAAAAGAGACGGUACCUAACUAGAAAGCCACGGCUAACUACGUGCCAGCAGCCGCGGUAAUACGUAGGUGGCAAGUGUUGUCCGGAAUUAUUGGGCGUAAAGCGCGCGCAGGUGGUUUCGAAAGUCUGAGGUAAAAGCCCACGGCUCAACCGUGAAAGGUCAUUGGAACCUACAAAACAGGAGUGCAGAAGGGAAACGUGGAAUUCCUGGGGUGGCGGUGAAAGGCGUAGGAAUGAGGAGGAAAACCGGUGGCGAAGGCGGCUUUUUGGCCGGAAACUGACACUGAGGCGGGAAGGCGUGGGGGGCAAACGGG
rnacentral:rRNA from 1 species